rnacentral:rRNA from 1 species
UACGUAGGGUGCGAGCGUUAAUCGGAAUUACUGGGCGUAAAGCGUGCGCAGGCGGUUGUGCAAGACAGGUGUGAAAUCCCCGGGCUUAACCUGGGAACUGCACUUGUGACUGCACGGCUGGAGUGCGGCAGAGGGGGAUGGAAUUCCGCGUGUAGCAGUGAAAUGCGUAGAUAUGCGGAGGAACACCGAUGGCGAAGGCAAUCCCCUGGGCCUGCACUGACGCUCAUGCACGAAAGCGUGGGGAGCAAACAGGAUUAGAUACCCUUGUAGU